UACGUAGGGACCGAGCGUUGUCCGGAUUCAUUGGGCGUAAAGAGCUCGUAGGCGGCCACUCAAGUCGAAUGUGAAACCUCGAGGCUUAACCUCGAGCCUGCAUUCGAUACUGGGCGGCUAGAGUCUGGUAGGGGGAUCUGGAAUUCCUGGUGUAGCGGUGGAAUGCGCAGAUAUCAGGAGGAACACCGGUGGCGAAGGCGACUACCUGGCCUGUUUCUUGACGCUGAGGCGCGAAAGCUAGGGGAGCAAACGGG
rnacentral:rRNA from 1 species